GACGAACGCUGGCGGCGUGCCUAAUACAUGCAAGUAGAACGCUGAAGAGAGGAGCUUGCUCUUCUUGGAUGAGUUGCGAACGGGUGAGUAACGCGUAGGUAACCUGCCUUGUAGCGGGGGAUAACUAUUGGAAACGAUAGCUAAUACCGCAUAACAAUGGAUGACACAUGUCAUUUAUUUGAAAGGGGCAAUUGCUCCACUACAAGAUGGACCUGCGUUGUAUUAGCUAGUAGGUGAGGUAACGGCUCACCUAGGCGACGAUACAUAGCCGACCUGAGAGGGUGAUCGGCCACACUGGGACUGAGACACGGCCCAGACUCCUACGGGAGGCAGUAGUAGGGAAUCUUCGGCAAUGGGGGCAACCCUGACCGAGCAACGCCGCGUGAGUGAAGAAGGUUUUCGGAUCGUAAAGCUCUGUUGUAAGUCAAGAACGAGUGUGAGAGUGGAAAGUUCACACUGUGACGGUAGCUUACCAGAAAGGGACGGCUAACUACGUGCCAGCAGCCGCGGUAAUACGUAGGUCCCGAGCGUUGUCCGGAUUUAUUGGGCGUAAAGCGAGCGCAGGCGGUUUGAUAAGUCUGAAGUUAAAGGCUGUGGCUCAACCAUAGUUCGCUUUGGAAACUGUCAAACUUGAGUGCAGAAGGGGAGAGUGGAAUUCCAUGUGUAGCGGUGAAAUGCGUAGAUAUAUGGAGGAACACCGGUGGCGAAAGCGGCUCUCUGGUCUGUAACUGACGCUGAGGCUCGAAAGCGUGGGGAGCGAACAGGAUUAGAUACCCUGGUAGUCCACGCCGUAAACGAUGAGUGCUAGGUGUUGGAUCCUUUCCGGGAUUCAGUGCCGCAGCUAACGCAUUAAGCACUCCGCCUGGGGAGUACGACCGCAAGGUUGAAACUCAAAGGAAUUGACGGGGGCCCGCACAAGCGGUGGAGCAUGUGGUUUAAUUCGAAGCAACGCGAAGAACCUUACCAGGUCUUGACAUCCCGAUGCUAUUUCUAGAGAUGGAAAGUUACCUCGGUACAUCGGUGACAGGUGGUGCAUGGUUGUCGUCAGCUCGUGUCGUGAGAUGUUGGGUUAAGUCCCGCAACGAGCGCAACCCCUAUUGUUAGUUGCCAUCAUUCAGUUGGGCACUCUAGCGAGACUGCCGGUAAUAAACCGGAGGAAGGUGGGGAUGACGUCAAAUCAUCAUGCCCCUUAUGACCUGGGCUACACACGUGCUACAAUGGUUGGUACAACGAGUUGCGAGUCGGUGACGGCAAGCUAAUCUCUUAAAGCCAAUCUCAGUUCGGAUUGUAGGCUGCAACUCGCCUACAUGAAGUCGGAAUCGCUAGUAAUCGCGGAUCAGCACGCCGCGGUGAAUACGUUCCCGGGCCU
rnacentral:rRNA from 1 species